rnacentral:rRNA from 1 species
UACGUAGGGUGCGAGCGUUGUCCGGAAUUACUGGGCGUAAAGAGCUCGGAGGUGGUUUGUCGCGUUGUUCGUGAAAACUCACAGCUUAACUGUGGGCGUGCGGGCGAUACGGGCAGACUGGAGUACUGCAGGGGAGACUGGAAUUCCUGGUGUAGCGGUGGAAUGCGCAGAUAUCAGGAGGAACACCGGUGGCGAAGGCGGGUCUCUGGGCAGUAACUGACGCUGAGGAGCGAAAGCGUGGGGAGCGAACAGG